UGGUUUAAUUCGAUGAUACGCGAGGAACCUUACCCGGGCUUGAAUUGCAGAGGAAGGAUUUGGAGACAAUGACGCCCUUCGGGGUCUCUGUGAAGGUGCUGCAUGGUUGUCGUCAGCUCGUGCCGUGAGGUGUCGGCUUAAGUGCCAUAACGAGCGCAACCCCUCUCCUUAGUUGCCAUCAGGUCAUGCUGGGCACUCUGGGGACACUGCCACCGUAAGGUGUGA
rnacentral:rRNA from 1 species